rnacentral:rRNA from 1 species
GACGUAGGGCGCGAGCGUUGUCCGGAUUUAUUGGGCGUAAAGAGCUCGUAGGCGGCUUGUCGCGUCGAAUGUGAAAUCUCGGGGCUCAACUCCGAGCUUGCAUUCGAUACGGGCAGGCUAGAGUUCGGUAGGGGAGACUGGAAUUCCUGGUGUAGCGGUGAAAUGCGCAGAUAUCAGGAGGAACACCGAUGGCGAAGGCAGGUCACUGGGCCGCAACUGACGCUGAGGAGCGAAAGCAUGGGGAGCGAACAGG